CAUACAAUAAGCGGAGGAAAAGAAACCAACAGGGAUUGCCCUAGUAACGGCGAGUGAAGCGGCAACAGCUCAAAUUUGAAAUCUGGCGUAAGCCCGAGUUGUAAUUUGUAGAGGAUGCUUCUGGGUAGCGGCCGGUCUAAGUUCCUUGGAACAGGACGUCAUAGAGGGUGAGAAUCCCGUAUGUGACUGGCUUGCACCCUCCACGUAGCUCCUUCGACGAGUCGAGUUGUUUGGGAAUGCAGCUCUAAAUGGGAGGUAAAUUUCUUCUAAAGCUAAAUACCGGCCAGAGACCGAUAGCGCACAAGUAGAGUGAUCGAAAGAUGAAAAGCACUUUGGAAAGAGAGUUAAAAAGCACGUGAAAUUGUUGAAAGGGAAGCGCCCGCAACCAGACUUUGCGGCGGUGUUCGGCUGGUCUUCUGACCGGUUUACUCGCCGCCGUGAGGCCAUCAUCGUCUGGGACCGCUGGAUAAGACCUGAGGAAUGUAGCUCCCUUCGGGGUGUGUUAUAGCCUCUGGUGAUGCAGCGCGUCUCGGGCGAGGUCCGCGCUUCGGCAAGGAUGAUGGCGUAAUGGUUGUCGGCGGCCCGUCUUGAAACACGGACCAAGGAGUCUAACAUCUAUGCGAGUGUUCGGGUGUCAAACCCCUACGCGUAAUGAAAGUGAACGGAGGUGGGAACUUUUUGUGCACCAUCGACCGAUCCUGAUGUCCUCGGAUGGAUUUGAGUAAGAGCAUAGCUGUUGGGACCCGAAAGAUGGUGAACUAUGCCUGAAUAGGGUGAAGCCAGAGGAAACUCUGGUGGAGGCUCGCAGCGGUUCUGACGUGCAAAUCGAUCGUCAAAUUUGGGUAUAGGGGCGAAAGACUAAUCG
rnacentral:rRNA from 1 species